rnacentral:misc_RNA from 1 species
UUAACUAUUUACAUAGUACUCGGACAACAUAAUAAAGAGUUUUGGGGUCCUCUGGCAGGCACAGACCAGCCAAGGCCGGUGGUCUAAAAGACGGGCCCACCAAAGCAACAAAGGUAUUGUAAACAAAGGGUGGGAGAUAUACCCCCUAAAGGGCAUGUUCUCUGUAAUGAUCCUUCCGCAGGUUCACCUACGGAAA